CGGCGGGUAGGGCUGGGAGGCUUGCCCUCUCCUACGAACCUGAAACGGGCAACAUGCUGGGGCCUGCAACCCGAGGAGCGCGGCAAAGCGCCCAAGGGGACCUGCCUGCUGCUGGGUUGAAGCCCAGCUCUGCCGGGCGAGUGCAGGAGUAGGCGCAUCCGUAGGGUUGCGCCGCAUCCAUAACCGGCGAACGCGCCAGGCCCGGGAGGGAGCAGCGGUAAGGCGGGCUACUUUGCGCUGGCAGAAAAACUGGGCCGACCGGCGGAGGUUGGCGCCCGUUGGGAAUGCUGGCUGCCAUCCGAGGGAGCCGCCG
rnacentral:SRP_RNA from 1 species